CGCCGAAGCCGAGCCCGGAUCGCUCUCGUGCCCUGGGUGAUUCUGUGUGCUCCAGGGACUCCAUACGUGAGCAAAGGACCCCAGGGAAACCCCGCACCCCCUGUCCCGAUCUUCCCCGUUGGCACACGCCCUGGUUGGGGCGAUUGGAUCUCGUCCCGGAGCUCUUUCGUCCGCCGCCGUUCGCCGGAGGUUUUCGCCACCAGACCUAGCGGGGAGAGAGGAACAAACUCGACCACCGUUCAUCGGAGCACACCCGCCGUUCCUGUCACCGUUGCUGCCCGCAGAGGAUGCCCCGUCGCCGUCCGACCUCACCAUCGCCUCCGCCGCUCGAUGCCGCACUCACCCAUCACUUCCCCUUCACCGGAGACUCGCCGGAGAGCCGCCACCGCCGACGCCCAAGACUACCGCCGCCACCCUCUGCUUUUGAUUGUCCGGAGUGCAACGUGAGCUAUUGUCAGGAGUGUGACUUUCUGAA